AACGAACGCUGGCGGCAUGCCUAACACAUGCAAGUCGAACGAACCCUUCGGGGUGAGUGGCGCACGGGUGCGUAACACGUGGGAACCUGCCCUUAGGUUCGGAAUAACAGUUAGAAAUGACUGCUAAUACCGGAUAAUGUCUUCGGACCAAAGAUUUAUCGCCUUUGGAUGGGCCCGCGUAGGAUUAGCUAGUUGGUGAGGUAAAGGCUCACCAAGGCGACGAUCCUUAGCUGGUCUUAGAGGAUGAUCAGCCACACUGGGACUGAGACACGGCACAGACUCCUACGGGAGGCAGCAGUGGGGAAUAUUGGACAAUGGGCGAAAGCUUGAUCCAGCAAUGCCGCGUGAGUGAUGAAGGCCUUAGGGUUGUAAAGCUCUUUCAGUGGGGACGAUAAUGACGGUACCCACAGAAGAAGCCCCGGCUAACUUCGUGCCAGCCGCCGCGGUAAGAC
rnacentral:rRNA from 1 species